rnacentral:sRNA from 1 species
CGGGUUCUGCCCUUCCCGUGAGACGGGUACAUUCCGGUGGCCUUAAGCAAAUCCGAGGGAGCUGGCUCUGACGUGGUCCUGGCCUCGUUACCUGGCGCCCACCUGUAAGAACAGGUCCUCGGGAAUGCGCUACCCACACGGUUGCGGUGGUUCCCGC